UGAGACUGGCCACAUUUGCUGUCCAUCCCCAGAUCGACUUCAUAAUUCUCUGAUGUCCAACUGUCUGCUGGAGAGAACCACGGAUAACAACAACAUCUGCUCUUUGGCUAAGAGAAGUUGUGUGGCAUCAGAGGGAUGAUGAGCUAGAGAAUGUGGUGUGGCAGCACAGGCCUGGGGCACCAGAGGGCAGACUGUGGAGAGACCUGCGCGGAUGAGCUCUCUGCCUGCUUCCUGGUGCCAUGUUCUGGAGCUGCUUUCCUCCACCACACUCUUCUGCCAUGAUGUUCAGCCUCACCUCGAGCCCUGUGGAAUGGAAUCAGCCAUGAACUGAGACCUCUGAAACCAUGAGCUCCCAAAUAAACUUUUCCUCCCCACGUUGUUCUUAUCAGGUCUUUUGGUCACAGCAGUGAAAUAGCCAACUAAAACAGCUAUAAUUCACUGUUUUGAAAGCAAGCAAUUUUAAAAGUCAAGAACUUCAUGGCAUACAAAUUAACAGAUGUCUUCCUAUUAUAAUUUAUAAUGCAAAGAGCUAAUACUGUUUGAUUACAUAUUAUACAUUAAAAUUCCUUUAAAGA